rnacentral:rRNA from 1 species
ACUCAAAUGAAUAGACGGGGGCCCGCACAAGCGGUGGAGCAUGUGGUUUAAUUCGACGCAACGCGAAGAACCUUACCUGGGCUCGAACGGCUUCUCAACGUCUGUGGAAACAUGGAUACCCCGCAAGGGGGUGGAGUCGAGGUGCUGCAUGGCUGUCGUCAGCUCGUGUCGUGAGAUGUUGGGUUAAGUCCCGCAACGAGCGCAACCCUUGUCCUGUGUUGCCAUGCCGCAAGGCGGCACUCGCAGGAGACCGCCAGCGAUAAGCUGGAGGAAGGUGGGGAUGACGUCAAGUCCUCAUGGCCUUUAUGUCCAGGGCUACACACGUGCUACAAUGGCCGGUACAAAGCGUCGCUAACCUGCGAAGGGGAGCCAAUCGCAAAAAACCGGUCUCAGUUCGGAUUGCAGGCUGCAACCCGCCUGCAUGAAGCUGGAAUCGCUAGUAAUGGCAGAUCAGCACGCUGCCGUGAAUACGUUCCCGGGCCUUGCACACACCGCCCGU